GACGGAGGUUCGAAUCCCCGUCGAUCUGAAAUUUUUCUCAGGCCACCAAAUUUCAAAUGGACCUCAAACCCGUCAUUUCACCUCGCCCCUCUUGUGGUGUUCCGAUGGCGUAGUGGUUACCAUUGUUGGUGGCACUGCGUCAUAGGUGUCAAUUAAGUGUCGGCUCUGGGCCGGGGUUCGCGCCCCGGUGCCUGGCACCUCGCUGUGGUAGCGGGGUGCAUAAUAAGACCUAGAAACUGGCUGAAAAGGACUCCAUGACCUGUGGUGGGUCAGUACAGUUUAACCAACGUACGCCUCAACCGUCUCACAAACCCCGGGAGUAUGUUCUGACCACUGCGGUUGGAAGCGGCUGUUCGGAACAGUGACCACAGUUCGCUAACUACUGCGGUGGGAUGAGGAAAGUACUCCCCCAUUUUUAUUUUUUAGUUUUGAA